GGCUAGUUACAGUUACUGAAGGGAUGUGUCGAUGGUCUCCGCCCUGAGCAAGAGCUCUUCGGCUUGGAUUUUGGCUGCACAUAAAGAUGACAAAGCAGUGUCGAUUGACGGUUUUGUUGCAGCAGCAAUGUUAGAGUUGGUAGUUGCCAGAUUUUUGUUUGCUAAGUCAACUUGGACUGAAAAUAGUGAGUAAACAGGUCUGUGAUCUGAGAAUCUGC
rnacentral:misc_RNA from 1 species